UUUGGAUCCUGUAGUGAUCUCUCUCAUGGCAGCUUUGGCAGUGUGUAUGUUUGUAAUCUUUGCAGUAGUUAUAGGUUCUUUCUUUACAACUAACAACAUGAACAGUGGAGGAUUUCAAGAAAAAGAAAGCUUCAAGCAGAUCCCCCGUGGUGUGGAGCUGAAUUUCGCUGCUUUACAUUUCAAUAAAAUAAAUGGAACGAGAGAUCAAGCUCAUGAUAAUAUCUAUUCUGACGUGAUUUACUCUCCUCUUUCUUAAAUUAUAAAUAUCGCAAAUUCAGUAUUUUU